rnacentral:rRNA from 1 species
AGUUUGAUCAUGGCUCAGAUUGAACGCUGGCUGUGCAAGGCCUAACACAUGCAAGUCGAGCGGCAGCACAAGUAAGUUUACUUAUGAGGUGGCGAGCGGCGGACGGGUGAGUAAUGCCUAGGGAUCUGCCCAGUCGAGGGGGAUAACAGUUGGAAACGACUGCUAAUACCGCAUACGCCCUACGGGGGAAAGAGGGGGACCUUCGGGCCUCUCGCGAUUGGAUGAACCUAGGUGGGAUUAGCUAGUUGGUGAGGUAAUGGCUCACCAAGGCGACGAUCCCUAGCUGUUCUGAGAGGAUGAUCAGCCACACUGGGACUGAGACACGGCCCAGACUCCUACGGGAGGCAGACAGUGGGGAAUAUUGCACAAUGGGGGAAACCCUGAUGCAGCCAUGCCGCCGUGUGUGAAGAAGGCCUUCAGNGGUUGUAAAGCACUUUCAGUAGGGGAGGCAACAGGGUGAGUCUUNAUACGGACUCAUCUGUGACGUUACCUUACAGAAGAAGGGACCCGGCUAACUCCGUGCCAAGCAGCCGCGNGUAAUACGGAGGGUCCAGAGCGUUAAUC